UACGUAGGGGGCGAGCGUUUGUCCGGAUUCAUUGGGCGUAAAGCGCGCGCAGGCGGCUCAGAGAGCCCGGCGUGAAAGCCCCCGGCUCAACCGGGGGAGGUCGUCGGGGACCGUGUGGGCUAGAGGCCGGUAGGGGCGAGGUGGAAUUCCCGGUGUAGUCGGUGGAAUGCGUAGAGGAUCGGGAGGAACACCAGUGGCGGAAGGCGACUCGCUGGACCGGUCCUGACGCUCAGGCGCGAAAGCGUGGGAGCGAGUCCGGA
rnacentral:rRNA from 1 species